ensembl:lncRNA
UGCAAGGCAAAAAAGAGAGCGUUUAUUUUCUGACUCCAACUUUUAUACUUCUCCAAAGGUGACAGUGGAUUGGAGAGUGAACGGGCCACCUCUCCAAAGACAUUGGACAAAGCACUAGUACAUCAAGUCUCUCCACCCCCAUGGAGGAAUGCAAAACAAUACAUUAUUUACAGAAACUGUGUGGGAAAGUUUCCUAAUAGAAUGUAAAUUCAGAAGGCUUAAGAAAACUCAAGAAUCAGGGCGACAUCUCACCCUUUUUAGUUUAAAAGAAAAGGAAAAAUGAAUAAGGUUCAGUGUCUGUUCGUGGAGGAAUCAUCAGAGUGAUCACCCACCGUCAUCUUCAACUGAGUCAUCACUCGAUGAUCCAUCCAUUUGAUGACUUUCAGUUUGGUCACGGCUUCUAUGUUGCCCGUUUGUCAGAUUCUGUCUCUGCGGUUGCAGAUCAGGACGAACACACCUUGAAGGUACCCAGUGUACCCCAGUAUCUGUGGAUACACAAGCAUACCCGCGCCCCGAAGCGAUAAGGUCAUAGGGACCUUCCCAUUGUUUAGUGACUAAAUUCCGCACUCGAACUUUUGCUCGAGGCUGAUGUGCCUCGUCUGCAGCUUGCAAUGAGAGAUGAUGAUUUAAAAUGACAGGGUUGUUUGAAUUCUGCUGCACUGUAAGAUGAUUGAUGGUGUACAAUGCUUUCUCCAACCGACUGUGCGGGGUCUCACCCUGCAUUCCCCGUUUUUGUUUUUGAAGAACCCGCUUCAGAGUACCAUGAGCGCGUUCUACAAUAGCUUGGCCGGUUGGAGAAUGGGGGAUACCAAACUUGUGUGACACACCCCACAACUGUAGGAACUGCCGCACCUGCUGCGAUGCAUAAGCAGGACCAUUGUCAGUUUUCACAGCAGAAGGUAUGCCUAGAACGGCAAAGGCCUGCCUCCAGUGGGCAAUGACAUCACGAGCCUUUUCUCCAGUGUGAGCGGAAGCCCACAUCGCAGAGGAGAACGUGUCCACCGUGACAUGCACAUACUUGAGCCGGCCAAACUCGGCAAUCUGGGUGACAUCAGUCUGCCAAAGCUCCAAGGCCCUAAGGCCUCUAGGGUUUACCCCUGCUGGUAAAGGCGGAGCAAGUGCAUGGCAGUCGUCACAGGACUCAACAAUGCUACGAGCCUCUGUUGGCGUUAGCUGAAACUGCUUCUGCAGAGUAUGUGCAUUCUGAUGGAAAAACCCAUGUGAUGCCUUGGCCUGUGCGAGUGUAUCAGGCUGGGGUGCUACCCACGCCGGAUUAGCCAACUUGUCAGCCCUCGCGUUACCUUCUGCUACAAACCCUGGUAAAUUGGUGUGACUUCUCACAUGCAGAACGUAAAACGGAUGAACCCGGGCCUGAAUAGCACACCACAAGGUCCUCAGUAAAUGAAACAAGGCAGGGUUACUGACCUCCUUCAAAACUGAGUGACCCAACCGCUGUGCGAUAUCAGCCACAUAGGCAGAAUCCGUGACCAAAUUGAAAGGUUCCUGGGAAAAUCUCUCAAAUGCCAUAACAGCGGCCCUCAACUCAACCACUUGGGCCGACCCAUCCUGAUGACCUUUCAGAACCUUCCACUCAGAUCCGUCCUUCCAAGUAACAAUGGCCUUUCCUGUUUUCCCCGAACCGUCAGUAAAGACGGUGGGUCCUUGCACAGGUUCCUGACUAUUUUUGGGCCGCAAAGAGAUCUGCAUAGAUUUUGCCACCUGCAGUAGCUUGUGGCUGGGCAAAUGAUAAGUGAUCUGCCCUGAAAAGUUUUCUAGAGCACAUUGCAGGGACACACAGUGUGCAAAGCUCCAGUCAAAGUCCUCCCGGGAUAUCGGGAGUAUGAUCUUUGCAGGAUCCGCACCCAUCAAUUGCAAACACCGUUGCCGGCAUUUCAUUAUCAACCGAGCAAUCAACUCAGCCAAUGUCGUUGCCGUCUUCUGCGGCUGAUGGGGCAGGAAAACCCAUUCCAAGAUGUGCAAGGGAUCGGACCAUUUGUCACUCCAUUGACCAAUGAUACCUGUGGGAUGCGAAUCUGGAGUGGUAACGAACACAGCGACAUCAACGGAAAGAUCAAUGCGAUAAACCUGACGGGCAGAAACAGCCUGCUGAACCUCCUCCAGCACCUGACGUGCCUCAGGGGUCAAUGUGCGAGGUGAUUUUAAAUCAGAGUCUCCUUUCAACAGAUCAUACACAGGAGACAGUUGUGCAUCGGUUAGUCCCAAGUAUGGACGUAACCAGGUGAUGACACCCAUCAGUUUUUGAACAUCAUUCAGUGUCUUCACCGAGUGUGCAAAUUGCACCUCCUGGUGUUGGAUUGUCCGUUCCAGAAUUUUGACCCCCAAAUACUUCCAAGGAGGUUGCUGUUGAACCUUUUCUGGAGCCACCUGCAGCCCAUGAGCAUGCAAAGCAUCGAGCAACCGAGGCUGAAUCCUCAGCAGCUCAUCCUGAGUGGACGCAGCCACCAAGAUGUCGUCCAUAUAAUGAUACAGACGUGCAUCAGGAAACUGCUUGCGAACUCCAGACAAGGCACGGGCCACAUACCAUUGGCAUAUGACCGGGGAAUUGCGCAUCCCCUGUGGCAGAACUUUCCAUUGAUAUCGCUGUGCAGGCUCAUCAUUGUCAAUUGCUGGCACCGUGAAGGCAAAUUUCGGUCUGUCAUCGGGAUGCAAAGGAAUUGUAAAGAAACAAUCCUUCAAAUCCACGAUGAAGAUCGGCCAGCCUGCAGGAAGCAUGGUAGGCGAUGGCAUGCCCGCCUGCAAUGUUCCCAUGCCUUCCAUGACAGCAUUGACCUUCCGGAGGUCCUGUAACAACCUCCAUUUCCCAGACUUCUUUUUGAUGCAGAAAACAGGGGUGUUCCAGGGACUGUUAGAAGGCUCCAGACGACCCUGGUCCAGCUGCUCCUGCACCAAUUUCCGAAGGGCGAUCAGUUUAUCUUGAGGGAGGGGCCACUGGUUUUCCCAAACAGGUGUAUCCACCAGCCACCGUAUAGGAGGCGUAGGACACUCUGCGCCCUUCGCUGCAGUGGCCCCCAUCAAAAACCCGUCCCAAUGCGCACCCCCCACGCAGAUAGAACAUCCCUCCCCCAGAGGUUAGCAGGAGAAGAAGUAACAUAAGGCCUAAUCCAGGCCGUCUGUCCCUCUGGGUUUGUGACCAGCACAGGCCGUUGGCUCACAUAACACCGUGCUGUUCCCCCCAGGCCCGCAACAGACGUCUCCGCUGGAUCCAGGGGCCAGUCCGGAGGCCAGGCGGCAAGGGAGAGAACCGUGACAUCAGCGCCGCUGUCAAGGAGCCCGCGCAGGCGGAUCUCUGACGGUGUUGCAUCAGGGAUGGAGAGGGUACACAGCAUCUCGGGACGGUCUUUGGUCAGGACAGCAGUCCAGUGAACUUGAGGCGGCCCAGUGGAUCCAAAACCGCCAUCACCUCGCAACCGGUCAGUCGUCCUGCGCACAGA